AGCUGUGCAGGGAGCACGGGAUCAGGUUCUUCGAGACCAGCGCUAAGUCCAGCUUGAACGUGGAGGAGGCCUUCAAUACUUUGGCUCGCGACAUUCUGCUCAAAUCGGUCAAGAAAUCGGCUCAGCUCCCCAAGAGACCCCUGGAACUGAAAGCCGCACCAAAACCCAGCUCCAAGUGCUCUUUGCUGUAACCGCUAGGAAAUGCUCCUCUCCUAUCAAGGCCAUUCCGCUCGGGUGGGGCUGGUUCUCCCCUCUCCCCUCCCCCCCUCGAGACUCCCGAGUUAUUUCAGGCUGGACCCUGGCAGGACUUGGGAGACACUUUCCACAACUCCUUCUCCUCCUUUCUCUUUUCCCAUUCGGCAGUUUAAUUUUUUGCAGGAAAGGAAGGGGGAGUUUGGGGAGGGAGGGGGGGUGUCCCAGAGCUGAAGGAGAGGUUGAAAAAUUGGGGAGGGGACGUUAAUAACUGGAGAUGCUCCCCCCUCCCAAAUCUCUGCAUUUGCCAGAUGUUUUGGGGCGAAGUUUGUCAAAGUUUGCAACUUUAAAGAUCGGCGAACUUCAACGCCUAGCCUUGCUAGCUGGGGAAUUCUGGGGAAUUGGAAAGCCCCCUCCCCAUCUUUAAAAAGUUGUUAAAAUAGAAAAAUGCCACGCCCUGAAGCUCCACAGCACCUUUAACACUGAUAGGAAAGAACCAGAUUAGGAAUCUCUCAGCAGGAGGAGUAAAAAAAACCCCUCCCUUUUUAAAAAAAUAUAUAUAUAAAUAAAUGUACAUAUAUGUAUUUCUGUCUGCUGGGAUUCUCUGCACUUUGGAUGGGUGGAAACCUGGAAUAUGGCACCCAGAAAGAACCCGUCGUAUGUUGGGGGGACCAAUUUGCCUUUUCUAAAUCUGCGAAGACGAUUAAAUAUUUGCAGUUUUUUUCCGAAGA